rnacentral:rRNA from 1 species
AACGAACGCUGGCGGUAUGCCUAACACAUGCAAGUCGAACGAGACCUUCGGGUCUAGUGGCGCACGGGUGCGUAACGCGUGGGAACCUGCACUUAGGCUCGGAAUAAUUCUUUGACAGGGGUGCUAACACAGGAUAAUGUCCUCUGACCCAACAUUCGUCGUAUUUGGAUGGGCCCGCGUUGGUUUAGCUGGUUGGUAGGGUAAAAGCCUACCAAGGCUUCGAUCCAUAGCUGGUCUGAGAGGAAGAGCAGCCACACUGGGGCUAGGACACGGCCGAGACUCCUACACGAGGCAGCAGUGGGGGAUAUUGGACAAUGGGCGGAGGCCUGAACCAGCAAGGCCUCGUAAGUGAUGAAGUCGUUAAAGUUGUAAAGCACUUUUACCCGGGGUGAUUAUGACGGUACCGAAAGAAUAAGCUCCGGCUAACUCCGUG